UACAGAGGGUGCGAGCGUUACUCGGAAUUACUGGGCGUAAAGCGUGCGUAGCCGGCUAUCUAAGUCGGGUGUGAAAUCCCCGGGCUUAACCUGGGAACUGCAUUUGUGACUGCAUCGCUGGAGUGCGGCAGAGGGGGAUGGAAUUCCGCGUGUAGCAGUGAAAUGCGUAGAUAUGCGGAGGAACACCGAUGGCGAAGGCAAUCCCCUGGGCCUGCACUGACGCUCAUGCACGAAAGCGUGGGGAGCAAACAGG
rnacentral:rRNA from 1 species